GGGUGUUUAGCUCAGUUGGUAGAGCGGCGCCCUUACAAGGCGUAGGUCGGGAGUUCGAGCCUCUCAACACCCA
rnacentral:tRNA from 1 species